rnacentral:lncRNA from 1 species
AGAAUGUAGCCCUUUCUAAUACAAAGCAUUAGCCCACCCAACUCCCAAUGUAUCUUAAAUUUAUGUUCAUUCCAAAGAAAUAAACCAAUAGACAGUGAACCCUCGCUCCUUCUUUUUUCAUAUUUUCAUAGGCAACAAUGAACCCUAGCUCAAGUGGCGAUAAUUGUGACUGCAAAUCUGGAACUAUGAGUAACGAGCAAGUUGUUUAUCUCCCUUUUUAUUUUAAUUUUAUUUUUCUUUCUAUUAUUUUUAAAGUGGAAUUUUUUUCUACCAUCAUUUAUUUCUCUUUUGGUUUUAAAUUUUAAUGUUCAUCUGACAAUAAUGAUCUCAUGUGGUGUUAGAUUUUCAAUAGCUUCAACGUUUAUAUGCAAUUUGUUUUUAUGUAUUGUCAUUUCCGAUUUUUGGUAUUUUUAAUCAAUGUUAAACAUUUUUUCUCUCUCGCAGAUGGAAACAACGAUUCCAAAAUAGAGGUGAAAGUUCUUUCAACUACACAAAAACUUUCUCAAUUAGAAGGUAACAACACUCUUGUUGCCAAUUCAAGUAUGUUCACACCUCCUAAAAAGCAUAAAAGAACAACCCCUUCUGAAAAUAAUUUUGGUACUGGGAAUGAAAGGGAAACAUCUGAAAUUUGGAAACACUUUACCAAAUUUGUUGAUAAAGAUGGUAAGUGCAAGGCGAAAUGUCAUUUUUGUAGUCAAAGCUAUUGUUCUGAUAGUAAUAGAAAUGGGAAAACUACAUUAUGGAAUCAUCUAACUGGUAUUUGUAUAAAUAAAUUCCCUUUUAGAUUCAUUGAUAGGAAUAAAUCGACAAUUAAGCCUAUUCCUACUAAAGGGGGGGAUAAGAAGGUACUAAUGAUACUUGUAAGCUAGAAAAAUUAUGUACAAUGUCAAUGAAGUGAGAAAAGUCAUUGUUGAAUUUGUAAUAAUUGAUGAAUAACCUUUUAAAGUUAUUGAGAGAGAAGGAUUUAAGAGAUUGAUGUCAGUUAUUUUUCCUAACUUUGAGUUGCCCUACCGUUUGACUGUUGCUAGGCAGUUUUUGAAAAUUUAUCAAGAAGAAAAAGAUAAGCUUAGAAAGUUUAUCCAGAAUCAAGAUGUAUGUCUCACAAGUGAUACAUGGACAUCACUCCAAAACCUAACUUAUAUGAUUAUUACUGCUCACUAGAUUGAUGAUAACUGGAACUUGCAGAAGAAAAUUCUUAAUUUUUUUAGGUUCUAGAUCAUAAGGGUGAACUGAUUGUAAAGGGGAUUGAGGCUUGUCUAUUAGAUUGGAGAAUUAAAAAACCAUUCACUGUGACCCUAGAUAAUGCAAGUGCAAAUGAUACUGUGAUUAGACACUUGAAGGGGAAGAUUGAAGGUUGGAAAGGAAUCAUCUUGAGAAAUGAAUUUCUACAUGUGAGAUGUAAUGCUGACGUUCUGAAUUUAAUUGUAAAAGAAGGGUUAAAUAAUCAUAAUGAUUCUGUUACUCGGGUCAAGAAUGUUGUAAAGUAUGUUAAGUCAUCUCCUGCAAGAAUUUCUUCCUUCAAGUCGUUUGUUGAAAAGCUAAUGAUAGAGUGUCAAUAUAUUUUGAGCUUGGAUGUUGAAACUAGGUGAAACUCGACAUAUAUGAUGUUGAGUGCAGCUAUUAAGUUUGAAAAGGCUUUUUUAAGAAUGUAUGUUGAUGAUCAUAAGUACCAAAAGCAUUUUACAAAAAUGAUUGGAAGAGGAGGGCAUCCAAAUGGGGAUGAUUGGAGAAGGUAAAAGCUUUUAUAAAGUUUCUUGACAUUUUCUACGAGAUAACUCUGAAAUUUUUGGGGACUCUUCAUGUUACUUCAAAUUCCUUCUGCCAUGAGCUUUUUAAUCUUCUUAAUUUUAUUUUAAAUAAUUCUCAUUGUGAUGAUUCAAUUUUCAUCGACAUGGCUGAUAAGAUGGAAGUCAAAUUUGAAAAAUAUUAGGGUGACUUUGAUAAUAUGAACAUGUUAUUAUUUAUCGGCGUUGUGUUGGAUCCCGGAUAUAAAAUAAAAUAUGUGAACUUUACCUUUGCCAAAUCUUAUGGUCCUUUAGUAGGAAGUUUAAGGUCAACAAGGGUGAUAUAUGUUUUAUCUAGAUUGUAUGGUUAUCAUAAAGAUUCUUCUUCUGAAACUUAUGAUGAGAAUCUAGGAAGUCCAUUUAGAAUGAUGAGUAAAGUGAGAAUGGUGAGAUAUGUCACUCACAAUGGAAAAAAUAUGUGCAAGAGGAAGAUGGUGGAAAUAAGAAUGAUCCUGACAGGUACUUGAUGGACGAUUUGGAGUUGACCAAAAAUUUAGAUAUCUUUGCUUGGAAAUAAGAGGUAUUCAGUUGUUUCUAGGACGGCAAGAGAUGUGCUUGCAAUUCCUAUUUCUACCGUACCAUCUAAAUCAGCUUUCAUCACCGGUGGACGGAUUCUUGAUUCAUAUCGAAGUACUUUGUCGCCAAAGACGAUAGAAGCUUUAAUUUGCAUUCAACAAUGUUGAGGUCAACUCCUAAAAAUACAUUGUUGAGGAUAUUCUGGAGGAAAUUCAAAAGCUUGAAAUUGUUGAGAAAGGUUAUUUUAUAUUGCUGACUCUUUAUCAAUAUGUUUAUGUUUGUAAAUUACUUAAGGAUACUUUUUUUUUCAUUCAGAAUACUCCAACACUGUUUUGAGCAUUGAUUAACUCGGAUGAUGGAACCAGCUACAACUAUAUCCUUGUUGCUUGGGAUUUAGGAUGUAAUCUCGAUGUCGUUGUUUUAGUUUACCAUAUGAAAAACUAAAUAUCCUUUUCUGAAUUAAUUAUUGUAAUAUCUUUUGUGACUUUUUUGUUGUCAGCUCUCUAAAGCUGGUAUUGGAAUAUUGGUGCUAACGGUUGAAACUUGACAGUGCAUGAAAUCAAAAGAGUGUUUGAAUGUAUUUUUUUAUGAGAAUGUCUACAAAUGUUUUACGAAAGAAUCAAUUUAGUGGAGAAAUCUAUAGUAUUUUAUGUUUUAUGAAAGAAUCUAUAAUGUCUGAAUGUUUUAUAGAACUAUUUGGCAGAACGAAAUGUGAGUGUAUGAAAUAGUUACUUUCAUUUUUUCAAAAUAUAUUGGCAUUGUAUGUAUGCCGUAGAAAUUUGUAACAAGUUAAAAUAUAGAUUUCAUAG